rnacentral:piRNA from 1 species
UGAAAUCCUCACCCCAAUAGAUACGUGA